UACGUAGGGUGCAAGCGUUGUUCGGAAUCAUUGGGCGUAAAGCGCGUGUAGGUGGUUAUGUAAGUCGAGUGUGAAAUCCCUGGGCUCAACCGAGGAAGUGCAUUCGAAACUACAUAGCUAGAGGACAGUAGAGGAAGGUGGAAUUCCUAGUGUAGAGGUGAAAUUCGUAGAUAUUAGGAGGAAUACCGGUGGCGAAGGCGGCCUUCUGGGCUGGACCUGACACUGAGACGCGAAAGCGUGGGUAGCAAACAGG
rnacentral:rRNA from 1 species